rnacentral:rRNA from 1 species
AUUGAACGCUGGCGGCAGGCCUAACACAUGCAAGUCGAGCGGAUGAAGAGAGCUUGCUCUCUGAUUCAGCGGCGGACGGGUGAGUAAUGCCUAGGAAUCUGCCUGGUAGUGGGGGACAACGUUUCGAAAGGAACGCUAAUACCGCAUACGUCCUACGGGAGAAAGUGGGGGAUCUUCGGACCUCACGCUAUCAGAUGAGCCUAGGUACGAUUAGCUAGUUGGUGAGGUAAAGGCUCACCAAGGCGACGAUCGUUAACUGGUCUGAGAGGAUGUUCAGUAACACUGGAACUGAGACACGGGCAAGACUCCUACGGGAGGCAGCAGUGGGGAAUAUUGGACAAUGGGCGAAAGCCUGAUCCAGCCAUGCCGCGUGUGUGAAGAAGGUCUUCGGAUUGUAAAGCACUUUAAGUUGGGAGGAAGGGCAGUAAGUUAAUACCUUGCUGUUUUGACGUUACCGACAGAAUAAGCACCGGCUAACUUCGUGCCAGCCGCCGCAGUAAUAC